AACUGCUCUUAGGAUGAAGUGACUGGAGCCCAGAUACCUUAUUUAGCAAUCAGUGCUCGGCACAAGGACUUGCUGUGCCAACGAAAAGGAAGCGAGGCAUUUUGGCUAGUCACCGCGUUUUUGCUGCGUCACAGGGAGACAGAAGAUGGGCUGCUAUUUCGUCGGCUAAAUGCUAUCAUUUUAAGCACCGUUCCAAAGAAAACAGGGAUCUUGCCAGAGGAAAAUAACAUAUACCAUAAAGGAAAAAGAAAUGUGCAUCAAGGCAAAUAAACAGCUCUCUACUAAGGGCCUAGGAUCUUGCUAGACGAGUCAUUUCUCUGGUUGAAAAGCAGUUGAGAAAGGCAAGACAAGGGGGGCGGGGGCCCAGCAGGGCACCUCUGAGCCCUUCCUGCUGCUCUUCAAAGACAGACGCAUUUUCCUUUCUACGGUCUCCUUGCAAGUCUUCUGUAGGCCCUGCCACCUUCAGGCUGACUGACUGCCUCCUUCAAAUAUCAGCAUUUGAUGGAUGUGCUGGAAGGAGACCCCUGCUGACCCCUGCUGACUCCAUGACAGAGGGAUGGAAAUUCUGCCCCUCCCAGACCUCACCCUAUGCGUUCUGUUUCCUUUAU
rnacentral:lncRNA from 10 species